rnacentral:rRNA from 1 species
AUUGAACGCUGGCGGCAGGCUUAACACAUGCAAGUCGAGCGGGGGAAGGUAGCUUGCUACCGGACCUAGCGGCGGACGGGUGAGUAAUGCUUAGGAAUCUGCCUAUUAGUGGGGGACAACAUCUCGAAAGGGAUGCUAAUACCGCAUACGUCCUACGGGAGAAAGCAGGGGAUCUUCGGACCUUGCGCUAAUAGAUGAGCCUAAGUCGGAUUAGCUAGUUGGUGGGGUAAAGGCCUACCAAGGCGACGAUCUGUAGCGGGUCUGAGAGGAUGAUCCGCCACAAGGGGACUGAGGAACGGCCCAGACUCCUACGGGAGGCAGCAGUGGGGAAUAUUGGACAAUGGGGGGAACCCUGAUCCAGCCAUGCCGCGUGUGUGAAGAAGGCCUUAUGGUUGUAAAGCACUUUAAGCGAGGAGGAGGCUACUCUAGUUAAUACCUAGGGAUAGUGGACGUUACUCGCAGAAUAAGCACCGGCUAACUCUGUGCCAGCAGCCGCCGUAA